rnacentral:rRNA from 1 species
CCUACGGGGGGCAGCAGUGGGGAAUAUUGGGCAAUGGGCGCAAGCCUGACCCAGCAACGCCGCGUGAAGGAAGAAGGCUUUCGGGUUGUAAACUUCUUUUGUCAGGGACGAAACAAGUGACGGUACCUGAGGAAUAAGCCACGGCUAACUACGUGCCAGCAGCCGCGGUAAUACGUAGGUGGCAAGCGUUAUCCGGAUUUACUGGGUGUAAAGGGCGUGUAGGCGGGAGUGCAAGUCAGAUGUGAAAACCACGGGCUCAACCUUUGAACUGCAUUUGAAACUGUUGUUCUUGAGUGCUGGAGAGGCAGGCGGAAUUCCGUGUGUAGCGGUGAAAUGCGUAGAUAUUAGGAGGAACACCAGUGGCGAAGGCGGUCUGCUGGACAGUAACUGACGCUGAGGCGCGAAAGCGUGGGGAGCAAACAGGAUUAGAUACCCGGGUAGUC